ACUCCUACGGGAGGCUGCAGUGGGGAAUAUUGCACAAUGGGCGAAAGCCUGAUGCAGCAACGCCGCGUGAGUGAUGAAGGCCUUCGGGUUGUAAAGCUCUGUCUUUGGGGACGAUAAUGACGGUACCCAAGGAGGAAGCCACGGCUAACUACGUGCCAGCAGCCGCGGUAAUACGUAGGUGGCAAGCGUUGUCCGGAUUUACUGGGCGUAAAGGAUGCGUAGGUGGAUAUGCAAGUCAGAUGUGAAAUACCCGGGCUUAACUCGGGUGCUGCAUUUGAAACUAUAUAUCUAGAGUGCAGGAGAGGUAAGUGGAAUUCCUAGUGUAGCGGUGAAAUGCGUAGAGAUUAGGAAGAACACCAGUGGCGAAGGCGACUUACUGGACUGUAACUGACACUGAGGCAUGAAAGCGUGGGGAGCAAACAGGAUUAGAUACCCUGGUAGUCCACGCCGUAAACGAUGGGUACUAGGUGUAGGGGGUAUCGACUCCCUCUGUGCCGCAGUUAACACAAUAAGUACCCCGCCUGGGGAGUACGGUCGCAAGAUUAAAACUC
rnacentral:rRNA from 1 species